UACAGAGACUGCAAGCGUUAUUCGGAUUCACUGGGCGUAAAGGGUGCGCAGGCGGCCAAGUGUGUGAGGCGUGAAAGCCUGGGGCUUAACCCCAGAAUUGCACCUCAAACUACUUGGCUAGAGCAUUGGAGAGGGUAGCAGAAUUCAUGGUGUAGCAGUGAAAUGCGCAGAUAUCAGGAAGAACACCCGUGGCGAAGGCGGCUCUCUGGGACGGUACUGACGCUGCGACGCGAAAGCGUGGGGAGCAAACAGG
rnacentral:rRNA from 1 species